rnacentral:misc_RNA from 1 species
AACGCAAAUUGCGCUUGAGGCUUCGGCCAAAAGCAUGUCUGCCUCAGCGUCGGGUUAAUACUCGCUCCCUGUUCAUCCAGGUGUGGCGGAACUGACUGUCUCGGCACUACUUCUAUAGUGUGCAGGGGUGGUCGAAGUAUGCAGUUGUUUUGGGGCACAUGGACCCUCCUUUAUGGUGGGUGUGCUUCCACUGGGUAGGCAAAUCCAAUUUGCUAAAUUCUUUAGUGGAUAGCUGAAUACGUGUACGGCCAAACACAAAGCAGGAAAAUUAAUCCUAUUUUCUCGACCUGAGCUCAGGCAAGAUUACCCGCUGACCUUA